CUUUACUGUAGCCUGGUAUUGGGUUCGGGCUUUGACUGCGCAGGAUAGGUGGGAGACUAUGAAGCUGCCCUUGUGGGGGCAGUGGAGUCAUCAGUGAGAUACCACUCUGUCAAGGCUAGAAUUCUAACCGUAUGCCGUUAUCCGGCGACGGAACAGUAUCAGGUGGGCAGUUUGACUGGGGCGGUCGCCUCCUAAAUGGUAACGGAGGCGCGCAAAGGUUCCCUCAGGCUGGUUGGAAAUCAGCCGAAGAGUGUAAAGGCAGAAGGGAGCUUGACUGCAAGAGCAACAACUCAAGCAGGGACGAAAGUCGGCCUUAGUGAUCCGACGGCGCUGAGUGGAAGGGCCGUCGCUCAACGGAUAAAAGUUA
rnacentral:rRNA from 1 species